GGAGCUUCUUCACUCUCAUCAUAUUCUUGGUCAUUCUCAUCAUCUUGUUGAUUGUCCUCCACUUUUAAGAGCAAUGGUUGUGUAAUGCCACUUUCAAGGACAUCAUUUUCUACAUUAUUAGCAGGUUCUUGAGGACCAGUGUUCACUUCAGUUUCAGUAGCAGGUUCUCUGAAUGAGAUCCACAACCAUAUCAAAUAGACUAACCAUGCAAAAGCCAUGAGCCAACCAGGCAAAGUAUCUUGAUUGAAUGUCAACUUGUAAAUCUUAAAAUUAGUUUGGAGUAACCCAGCAAGUGCAGGGCCACAUGCCAUCCCAAGAGCGCUAGCACUGACAAAUCCAGCUGAAGCCUGCAUCCGGAUUUUAAGGGGCACACAGUCACUGAUGUAACGUCGGUUCACUGCUCUGGCAGAACCCAACCCACAAAAUAUUCGACCAAUAAGGAGAACUGGUAUUGAAUUGAGAUCAUAAGCCAGUGCAUACAUGAUAUUCCCCACAAAGAGAACUAUACUGCUAAAUACCAGAGGUCUGAAAUAAGACCUGUUUGACCAAGCACUGAAAUACACAGAGGAAAAGAUCUGUGCAAUAGCCAUGGCACCGAUCACAAUCCCACAAACUGUUGCAGCAGCACCAAGGCUCAUAGAAUAAUCAUCUGCUGUUGGAACAAUGAUAUAUGUAUUGACCAUAUAAAGGAAGGUAUUUGCCAAGUUUAAGAUAAGUGACAUAAAAUGGUAUCUCUGAUCAUCAACUUGUUCUUCAACAGGAGUUGGAAACUCUUCUUGCAUGAUAAGUGCAUGUUGG
rnacentral:misc_RNA from 1 species